AACAGUGCAUGCUGAGCCCCAUCACCGCAAUCAGAUACGUCUUGAAGGAUAUCUCACUGUAGCUGAGGGUAUGAUCCCACCAGUACUGACGCGUGUAGCCACCGCCUUUCACCAGCGGAGGAAUCUACAGAAAUCAACGGGAGUAAUCCGAAUCAAUCACACAUUUUGGUCACAAACUUCAAAGGUACGAUAAUCACCGCCAACAGUGGGAAGAACAGUUUGUAGCUGCCGGGUAGCAAGCUGCACACAUUCACCGCCAGUGCCCUCCAACAGGAUGCGUACUGCGGGUGGCAAAGGUCACGGCAGGUUUUGCCUGCCGUCGCUUCGUAGAAGUACUUGCUGAGGUGAGCCAUGUGGUGUUAAUCGUCGCGCGAAUCCGAUGGAACUGAACAAACGAAUUCGCUUCUUUUUUGGGGGUUUCGCGUGACGACGUUGAAUUGCUGAUUUGCAUUCGUUUGGACGAUAGAAAUUUCGGAUAUGAUGAAGGAGUUUAGAACAAGCAUUAACUGAAGCGGGCUUUACGCCGUCAUUCCCGCUUAUAAACUAUCACAACCACAAAUAGUUAACAAUUUUGCAACAAUCUUGAGAUGAGACUCUCACCUGCUCAGCUGAAUCCCAUGGCGACCUUUCCCAGACAUUCGGCAGCUAUUUGUGCUCUGCAAUGGAAGUUGACGAUGAGAAAGGAUCUUACUCCAAAAUUUGAGCGCAGUUUCUGAAAUACUCACUGUGCACCGGAACAGAUAUCGGUGAAUUUCAUCGCAAACUUCGACAUGGCGUAGGGAUAGUAGGCCCGAGCGUACAUAUUGUAGUUCAUCAGGAACACCCACACGACCGAACUGAACGAGAUUUUGUUGAACUGCUGGAGCCACUCCACCUUGGAGUACUUCUCAACGAUAAAGUUCCACGCGUUCUGAAAAUAUUUCAUAGAAAAACCU